rnacentral:rRNA from 1 species
UACAGAGGUCUCAAGCGUUGUUCGGAUUCAUUGGGCGUAAAGGGUGCGUAGGUGGCGGGGUAAGUCAGGUGUGAAAUUUCGGAGCUUAACUCCGAAACUGCAUUUGAUACUGCCUUGCUUGAGGACUGGAGAGGAGACUGGAAUUCACGGUGUAGCAGUGAAAUGCGUAGAGAUCGUGAGGAAGACCAGUGGCGAAGGCGGGUCUCUGGACAGCUCCUGACACUGAGGCACGAAGGCCAGGGGAGCAAACGGG